ACUCAAAUGAAUAGACGGGGACCCGCACAAGCGGUGGAGCAUGUGGUUUAAUUCGACGCAACGCGAAGAACCUUACCUGGGUUAAAUCACAGGUGCAAGGCGCAGAGAUGCGCCCCCCUCGCAAGAGGCGCCUGUGAAGGUGCUGCAUGGCUGUCGUCAGCUCGUGUCGUGAGAUGUUGGGUUAAGUCCCGCAACGAGCGCAACCCUUACCACUAGUUGCCAGCAUUUAGUUGGGCACUCUAGCGGAACUGCCGGUGAUAAACCGGAGGAAGGUGGGGAUGACGUCAAGUCAUCAUGGCCUCUAUGUCCAGGGCUACACACGUGCUACAAUGGCAGGUACAGACCGCUGCAAACUCGCGAGAGGGAGCCAAUCGGAAAAAGCCUGUCUCAGUUCGGAUUGGAGUCUGCAACUCGACUCCAUGAAGUUGGAAUCGCUAGUAAUCGCAGAUCAGCACGCUGCGGUGAAUACGUUCCCGGGUCUUGUACACACCGCCCGU
rnacentral:rRNA from 1 species